rnacentral:rRNA from 1 species
AUGAACGCUGGCGGCGUGCCUAAUACAUGCAAGUCGAGCGAACAGACGAGGAGCUUGCUCCUCUGACGUUAGCGGCGGACGGGUGAGUAACACGUGGAUAACCUACCUAUAAGACUGGGAUAACUUCGGGAAACCGGAGCUAAUACCGGAUAAUAUAUUGAACCGCAUGGUUCAAUAGUGAAAGACGGUUUUGCUGUCACUUAUAGAUGGAUCCGCGCCGCAUUAGCUAGUUGGUAAGGUAACGGCUUACCAAGGCGACGAUGCGUAGCCGACCUGAGAGGGUGAUCGGCCACACUGGAACUGAGACACGGUCCAGACUCCUACGGGAGGCAGCAGUAGGGAAUCUUCCGCAAUGGGCGAAAGCCUGACGGAGCAACGCCGCGUGAGUGAUGAAGGUCUUCGGAUCGUAAAACUCUGUUAUUAGGGAAGAACAAAUGUGUAAGUAACUAUGCACGUCUUGACGGUACCGAAUCAGAAAGCCACGGCUAACUACGU